rnacentral:rRNA from 1 species
UGCCAGCCGCCGCGGUAAUACGGAGGGCGCAAGCGUUGUUCGGAAUCAUUGGGCGUAAAGCGGAUGCAGGCGGUGAAGUUAGUCGGGUGUGAAAUCCCAGGGCCCAACCCUGGAACUGCACUCGAAACUGCUUCACUAGAGUCCCGGAGGGGAAGGCGGAAUUCCCGGUGUAGAGGUGAAAUUCGUAGAUAUCGGGAGGAACACCAGUGGCGAAGGCGGCCUUCUGGACGGUGACUGACGCUCAGAUCCGAAAGCGUGGGGAGCAAACAGGAUUAGAUAC